GCUCUCGUAGCUCAGUUGGUAGAGCGCGGCACUAGUAUCCGAUAGCAAUAUCAGCAUAUGCCGAGGUCUACGGUUCAAAUCCGUACGGGAGCA
rfam:Pseudogymnoascus pannorum VKM F-3808 contig_700, whole genome shotgun sequence.